CUUAGGCUCAAACAGAUAGCUCCCUUGGCCUUUAGGUCAUAAAGCCAACACCACUAUACCUGUCUCUAACACUAUCAUCAAAGUUGAUCUUGAGGUACAUCGAAAGUAGGGACUCCUAAGAGAUAAAAAUCCAUCGAGCACUAUAUGAGCAAAAUGGGAAUCCCAUAUCUCUCGAGGUCUAAAAGUCACUUCAGUCAGCUCUUUAGCCGAAAUUAGGGCUCUCUCU
rnacentral:lncRNA from 1 species